rnacentral:rRNA from 1 species
UACGUAGGGUCCGAGGCGUUGUCCGGAAUUACUGGGCGUAAAGAGCUGCGUAGGUGGUUUGUCGCGUUGUUCGUGAAAACUCAACAGCUCCAACUGUGGGCGUGCGGGCGAUACGGGCAGGCUAGAGUUCGGUAGGGGGAGACUGGAAUUCCUGGUGUAGCGGUGAAAUGCGCAGAUAUCAGGAGGAACACCGGUGGCGAAGGCGGGUCUCUGGGCCGAUACUGACGCUGAGGAGCGAAAGCGUGGGGGAGCGAACAGG